rnacentral:rRNA from 1 species
CCGGCGCACGGGUGAGUAACACGUAUCCAACCUGCCGUCUACUCUUGGACAGCCUUCUGAAAGGAAGAUUAAUACAAGAUGGCAUCAUGAGUUCACAUGUUCACAUGAUUAAAGGUAUUCCGGUAGACGAUGGGGAGGCGUUCCAUUAGAUAGUAGGCGGGGUAACGGCCCACCUAGUCUUCGAUGGAUAGGGGUUCUGAGAGGAAGGUCCCCCACAUUGGAACUGAGACACGGUCCAA